GGGGAUAUAGCUCAGUUGGUAGAGUGUUUUGCCUCCCAUGCACAAAGCCCUGGGUUCAAUCCCCAGCACCAUCA
rnacentral:tRNA from 1 species